UACAGGGGGUGCGAGCGUUAUUCGGAUUUAUUGGGCGUAAAGAGCGUGUAGGUUGUUUAUUAAGUCAUUUAUGAAAUCUCUUAGCUCAACUAAGAAAGUAUAAAUGAUACUGGUAGACUUGAGUAUCGAAGAGGAUAGUGGAAUUUCCGGUGUAGAGGUGAAAUUCGUAGAUAUCGGAAGGAACACCUGAGGCGAAGGCGACUAUCUGGUAGAUUACUGACGCUGAGACGCGAAAGCAUGGGGAGCAAACAGG
rnacentral:rRNA from 1 species